UUUGGGAUAACCCUCGGAAACGGGGGCUAAUACCGAAUAUUCACUUGCGGACGCAUGUUUGUGGGUGGAAAGUUUUUCGGCUUGGGAUGGGCUCGCGGCCUAUCAGCUUGUUGGUGGGGUGAUGGCCUACCAAGGCGACGACGGGUAGCCGGCCUGAGAGGGCGACCGGCCACACUGGGACUGAGACACGGCCCAAGACUCCUACGGGAGGCAGCAGUGGGGAAUAUUGCACAAUGGGCGGAAGCCUGAUGCAGCGACGCCGCGUGAGGGAUGUAUNCGGCUCUUCGGGGUUGUAAACCUCUUUCAGCAGGGACGAAGCGUGAGUGACGGUACCUGCAGAAGAAGCGCCGGCCAACUACGUGCCAGCAGCCGCGGUAAGACGUAGGGCGCGAGCGUUGUCCGGAUUUAUUGGGCGUAAAGAGCUCGUAGGCGGCUUGUCGCGUCGACUGUGAAAACCCGUGGCUCAACUGCGGGCCUGCAGUCGAUACGGGCAGGCUAGAGUUCGGUAGGGGAGACUGGAAUUCCUGGUGUAGCGGUGAAAUGCGCAGAUAUCAGGAGGAACACCGGUGGCGAAGGCGGGUCUCUGGGCCGAUACUGACGCUGAGGAGCGAAAGCGUGGGGAGCGAACAGGAUUAGAUACCCUGGUAGUCCACGCUGUAAACGUUGGGCGCUAGGUGUGGGGGGCCUCUCCGGUUCUCUGUGCCGCAGCUAACGCAUUAAGCGCCCCGCCUGGGGAGUACGGCCGCAAGGCUAAAACUCAAAGGAAUUGACGGGGGCCUGCACAAGCGGCGGAGCAUGCGGAUUAAUUCGAUGCAACGCGAAGAACCUUCCCUGGGUUUGACAUCGCCGGAAAUCUC
rnacentral:rRNA from 1 species